AAGCUCGUAGUUGAAUUUCCGCGUUAGUAGGUUGGUCAUGCCUCUGGUAUGCACUGGCUUUACUGAUUCCUCCUUCUCGAUGAACUGUAAUGUCAUUAAUUUGGUGUUGCAGGGAAUCAGGACUGUUACUUUGAAAAAAUUAGAGUGUUUAAAGCAGGCAUACGCUUGAAUACAUUAGCAUGGAAUAAUGAAAUAGGACGUUUGAUCCUAUUUUGUUGGUUUCUAGGAUUGACGUAAUGAUUAAUAGGGAUAGUUGGGGGCAUUAGUAUUCAAUUGUCAGAGGUGAAAUUCUUGGAUUUGUUGAAGACUGACUACUGCGAAAGCAUUUGCCAAGGAUGUUUUCAUUAAUCAAGAACGAAAGUUAGGGGAUCGAAGACGAUCAGAUACCGUCGUAGUCUUAACCAUAAACUAUGCCGACUAGGGAUCGGAUGAUGUUAUUUUUAAUGACUCAUUCGGCGCCUUACGGGAAACCAAAGUGUUUGGGUUCCGGGGGGAGUAUGGUCGCAAGGCUGAAACUUAAAGGAAUUGACGGAGGGGCACCACCAGGGGUGGAGCCUGCGGCUUAAUUUGACUCAACACGGGGAAA
rnacentral:rRNA from 1 species